rnacentral:rRNA from 1 species
AAAACAACUACGAAGGGGGCUAGCGUUGUUCGGAAUUACUGGGCGUAAAGCGCACGUAGGCGGACUUUUAAGUCAGGUGUGAAAUCCCAGGGCUCAACCCUGGAACUGCCUUCAAAACUCCCAGUCUUGAGUUCGAGAGAGGUGAGUGGAAUUCCGAGUGUAGAGGUGAAAUUCGUAGAUAUUCGGAGGAACACCAGUGGCGAAGGCGGCUCACUGGCUCGAUACUGACGCUGAGGUGCGAAAGCGUGGGGAGCAAACAGG